UACAGAGGGUGCGAGCGUUGUCCGGAAUCACUGGGCGUAAAGGGCGCGUAGGCGGCGUUUUAAGUCGGGGGGUGAAAGCCUGUGGCUCAACCACAGAAUGGCCUUCGAUACUGGGACGCUUGAGUAUGGUAGAGGUUGGUGGAACUGCGAGUGUAGAGGUGAAAAUUCGUAGAUAUUCGCAAGAACACCGGUGGCGAAGGCGGCCAACUGGACCAUUACUGACGCUGAGGCGCGAAAGCGUGGGGAGCAAACAGGA
rnacentral:rRNA from 1 species